GUGGGGAAUCUUCCGCAAUGGACGAAAGUCUGACGGAGCAACGCCGCGUGAACGAUGACGGCCUUCGGGUUGUAAAGUUCUGUUAUACGGGACGAAUGGUACGACGGCCAAUACCCGUCGUAAGUGACGGUACCGUAAGAGAAAGCCACGGCUAACUACGUGCCAGCAGCCGCGGUAAUACGUAGGUGGCAAGCGUUGUCCGGAAUUAUUGGGCGUAAAGGGCGCGCAGGCGGCGUCGUAAGUCGGUCUUAAAAGUGCGGGGCUUAACCCCGUGAGGGGACGAAACUGCGAUGCUAGAGUAUCGGAGAGGAAAGCGGAAUUCCUAGUGUAGCGGUGAAAUGCGUAGAUAUUAGGAGGAACACCAGUGGCGAGAGCGGCUUUCUGGACGACAACUGACGCUGAGGCGCGAAAGCCAGGGGAGCAAACGGGAUUAGAAACCCUUGUAGUCC
rnacentral:rRNA from 1 species